rnacentral:rRNA from 1 species
UACGUAGGGGGCGAGCGUUGUCCGGAUUUAUUGGGCGUAAAGAGCGUGUAGGCGGCCAGGUAGGUCUGCUGUGAAAACUCGAGGCUCAACCUCGAGACGUCGGCGGAAACCAUCUGGCUAGAGUCCGGAAGAGGAGAGUGGAAUUCCUGGUGUAGCGGUGAAAUGCGCAGAUAUCAGGUGGAACACCGAUGGCGAAGGCAGUGAUCUGGGCCAGUACUGACGCUGAGGAGCGAAAGCGUGGGGAGCAAACAGG